AAGGGAGAGAUUAACCUCUUUGAUUAUAGUUUAAAGUACCAGAAGAAAGUAGCCGGAAAAAAGGAACCUUUCAUUAAUUAUACUGUAGAUAAUGCCAAGUAUGAGGAGGACAUUAAGGAAAUAAAGAAAGCAAAUGAAAAUAUUAGUGACACCCUACCCUUCGCAACUACUAUCCAAGUGUAGUGGAUGCAAACAGAAGAUCCUUUUUGGACGAAACAAUACCCUUACCCCGUGGCAGACCAUGUCUUCGUCAAUAAAGAAAUAGAUAGGCUUUUAGAAAAUGGAAUAAUUCAGCCGAGUAAAAGUCCGUACAAUUCCCCUAUUUGGACUGUUCCAAAGAAAGGAUUAGACGGAAAUGAUAGACCUAAACGGAGUAUGGUGGUCGACUACCAAAAACUUAACACGCAUACUAUAAACAACCGCUACCCUAUACCUGAUAUUAAUAUGACAGUUUAAAAUUUAGGUAAAGCUAAAGUUUUUUCGACCAUAGAUUUAGAAUCAGGAUUCCAUCAAAUUUUAAUAAAGGAAUCCGAUCGCGAAAAAACCGCAUUUGCAGUGAAUGGCGCAAAGUAUGAGUUUGUUAGGAUGCCGUUUGGACUUAAGAAUGCACCCUCAAUCUUUCAACGAUGCAUAUAUGACAUUUUGCGACAAUAUAUCGGUAAAUUUGCUUACGUUUAUAUAGACGACGUUUUAAUAUUUUCUUCUACGCCUGAAGAACACAUACUUAGAACAUAUUCGAACUAUAGUCAAUGCACUGCAUGAAGCUAAUAUGACAAUUUCGUACAAAAAGUCGCAUUUUUGAGUACCUUGGCAACAUAAUUAAACAUAACAGAGUAACGGUUGAUCCAAGAAAGAUUUAAGCUAUAAAAUCAAAGUGCGCGAGUAGAAGUAAAGCUCGAUGAAGCGGCAAUUACUGCCAUAGAAAAAAUAAAAGAUGCUCUGCAAGAACAGGUAGAACUUUAUCAGCCAGACUUUACCAAACCAUUUGAACUAACUACCGACGCCAGUAACCAAGCAAUUGGAGCAGUUUUCUCCCAGUUUCGCCAACCUAUUGCUUUUGUUUCUCGAACUGACCAAAUAAAGAGGGUGAAAUAAUACCUAUUCUAGAUCCCACAAAAGAUACAAUGAGCAAGAUUUUUUAACAAAACUACAACAAGUAGCUAAACCCAAUGUAACUAACGCACUAAGAAUAAAUGAAGAGUUAAUAUUCCACUUUAAGGAUGAUAUUCUUUCCCACUUUCCCAAUUGUACCUUUGUGAUAGCACCAAACUUGCUAAUUGACAUUACUAACCAAAACGAACAAUUAGAAUAAGCAGAAAAAAUACAAAGACGUGCACACCGAAAUUAUAUGAAAAUGUGCAAUCAGAGAAAUGUGCAAGAAAGAAGCGAUAGACUGUCAAAUUUGUUUGACAAACAAAUACGAACGACAACCAAACAGGCAACCUAUUGGAAAAACACCAAUACCAACAAAAACUGGAGAAUAUAUGUAGAUGGACAUAUUUCACAUGAAUAGUUGUAUGUAUAUAAGCUCUACCGACAAAUAUUCGAAGUAUUGCUAUCUCCGAAAAAUUCAUACUAAAGCAAACUGUCACGAACAUAUUGAAGAAAUACUUACAAAAUUGUAUCCAAAUGCAAAACAUCUAAUGACUGAUAACGAAAAUGUAUUUAUCAGCAACAUGGCAAAGGCCGUUUAUACUCGACUACAUAUACAAUAUACUGCCACACCAUUAAAUCACUCGACAACUAACGCUCAAGUAGAACGGUUGCACAAUACGUUACAUGGAUAAAUUGAUCCGAAACUCCUCUCUUCGCUUUCUGAGAGAGCCCAUGAUCUCACGGUUUGGUAUGGCAAUACUGAAAGUUCAUGGGCUACGAAUCAGAUGACAAGCAAAACAAUGAACUGCCAGACAAAAUCCCAUUAAAAAUAACUGACAAAAUCAGUUCGUUAUUUUUCAUUGUAGAGUACAUAAGUAAUUGUGUUGUGAAAAUAUAGUGUUUAGGUUUUUUAUUAAAAAUACAGUGUAUAAGUGUUUUUACUAAAAAUAAAGUUGGAAAAUGCCGAGAACUAAAAAUAAGUGUGUGGCUGGAUGCGUAGGAGCGCGACGGUUUUUCAAUUUCCCAAACAAGGAGAAGGAUGGAUCCAGGUGCGUAAAUAAUUUUAAUUAGUAGAAAAAUAUAGUUAUUUAGUGAAAUUUAGAAAUAUUUUUUCAAAAAUUGUGCCUAUUUUGAUAUUGUUUUAGAUGCAAUUUAUUGCAUGAUAAAAAAUAUAUCAUGCUUGCGAAAUGUAAUGUAAUUUAGUAAAUAGUAUUGUAAUAUUUAAUAGAUCCAAUUUAAUAUGUUGUUUGGAGUAGCGUAGUAGAUGUAAAUAUCACUAUAAUUAUAAAUUAUAAGUACAAAUAAAUGUAAUACGAGUAGAAAGUAUCGUAAAUACUAAUAAAUGUUGUGAUUUUAUUUUGUACCUAUAUGGGUGAUAUAGGCCUAUAGGGAAACCGAGCACCCAAAACUAACUUCGGUAACGCGCCUUUUGUAUACCUCAGCGGUGGUGUGGAAAUUACAAACUCCCAAAACAUUUACUAAAAAUUCCCUAACACAUUUCUUCCAUAGUGGCAUCAUUGGCAAAUGUUAUAAAAAAUGUGGACUUUGACAGCGCUCUCUCGAAUCAAAGAGUUUCGUAUCAAUUUAUCCAUGAUACGUUGAUUGAAAUCAGUACGAGUUUAGCUAGUGAAAAUAAUACGACUCCAGGAUCCAAACCUGAAGUAGUUUUCUUUAAUGGCGAAAAGUAUCCCGAGAUUAGAGAAAUCCUUCAGAACAAUCAGGAGAAGCUUUUGCUUUUCCACAACAAAGGACGAAAAAACAUCACGUAUAAACCAGGAGAUAUCAUAUAUUCCACAACAGAUCGUAGGAAUAAAAUUGCUAAACGAUAUAAUCAGCACAAAGUUAAGGAAGAUCGCGGGGACACGAUCCUUACAACGAGAGGGAAAAUUAUUCAUAAAGACAACAUCAACAUAAAGAGAACAUCAGAAUAUCAUGAAAUCCAAAUACUUUGCAGAAAAAAAAAGAAGAAAUAAUUCUUAUUAAUAAAAUAGAGGCACUUAAGACACAGCUUAUACCUUCUAAUCUUAGACUCAAACGCUCGUUAAAGUUUUUAAGUUCUAUUCUCAAGUUUGUCACCGGUACUCCUGACCAUGACGACCUUAUAGAGAUCAAGACAGGACUCAAUCAGUUGAUAGAAAACAAUAAUCAACAACGGAAGAUUAACAGUCAAUUUGAAAAAAUACUAGAAACACUAGACCCAAAGUCAAUUAUUGAAGAAUUAAUUAUUACAGAAGUUUACAAGGAGUUAGAAACAAUCACGAAUAUACGUACCAUCAAUUUUGCUAAAACAGGAAACAUUUAUUCGGAUACUCUAAACCUCAAAAACAUUCAAGAAAUUGCCUCCAUAGAAGAUUUUAACAUACCCAUAAUUAAUAUUUUAGAAUAUUCUGAUAUUCAUGUAUGCAUGUACAAAGAUGCUAUAAUUACAAUAUACAAAUAUCCGGUAAUAAAUAACCGCUGUAAAUUGUAUAACUUAAUACCUUUAGCAUACAAACACGGUAAAAUCCGAUUGGACUCUCAAGUUGCAAAAUGUGAAGCGAAUUUCAAAAGAACUUCCAAAUGUAAAAAUUAUCUGGGAUUAAAUAUUUGUAAACAGGAGUCUCCCGACAACUGUACCAUCCCAGUGCUUGAAAAUAAUAAGGCAAAAUGUAAUGUUAUUCAAGAAAAUAAUAGACCACUUAUUGUGUUAGAUCACAGAAAUAUAAUUAUUGAUGGAGAACAUCUGUGGAACGGACAACGUGUUAACGGUCCAAACCUGUUACAAUUUAAUCACAGUACUAAUUUAGAUAAUAAGGUAUAUUUCAAUCACGAUCAGGAAAUUAAAGAUGUGAUUCAUGCCCACCAAGAUGAACAAUUAGAAGUUCUAAAAAUAUUAACCUCCAAUUCAGGUUAUACAUUUUCAAAUAUUCCAAAAAUGUAUAAAUACAUGAUUCCUAUUGAAGAACAACCAGAAUAUGCUAUCGAGUACAUUUAGAAGAUAAAAAGGAACGAUUAUUCCGCCAAAAAUACGAGAUCGAACUUCGUCGACUCCAAGACUGGAAAUGAGGACAUUUCAUCUUAACACAGGGGAGAGUUAAGGAACGUUUCAUUUCUCAAAAAAACCAAAACAUCUCUUGUUUAUGUCGCACCACGCAUGAACAAAUAGUGAUAAGCAAUUCCAAUAUAUGGUGUGAAAUAGAAAUGGUAUCACACAUAACGAGUGUUAUCUCCUACACGCUAUUCUCUCGGGACUGUUUGUAACGACAAACAAUUGACUGUAGAUAGUGUGUCUAUCUUCAAAUAAUAUAGCAGACAGCAAAUAGAAACUAGUACCAUAAAGUAGUAUAAAUAGCACUAAAUUAUCAAAAUGUACUUAGUCUUAGUUUUGUAUUAAUAAAGGAACUUGCCCUGACGGUGCAAAGUACAUACAAAAGUAAAUCAAUUGUGAUUAACUCGCGCGACAGUAUUAUCCGUAUCCUUAUGGUGGUGGACGGAUGGGCUACGAUUUCUUAUUGGUGACACGAUAGACUCGGGUAUGCGUAAAUAUUAGACCUUUGGCGACACAAUCGACUCGGGUGGUGGACGGAUGGACUACGAUUUCUUAUUGGUGACGCGAUAGACUCGGGUAUGCGAAAAUAUUAGACCUUUGGCGACAUAAUAGACUAGGGUAUGCGAAAAUAUCAAACCUUUGGCGCCACGAUAGA